AUAUUCUUCUUAGGUAUGUGUUUAAGCGUUUGAAGUUUCUUGGUAAUCGAUAUAUUUCACAAGGUGCAGCUCUUUUGUUCUUGGCAGUUUGGCAUGGUUUACAUUCUGGUUACUAUGUUUGUUUCUUCAGUGAAUUCAUUGUUAUGUAUCUUGAGAAAGAUGUGGAGGCAAUUUUGAAUAAUCGUUUGCCUAAAGUUAAAGAAUUCUUCACCCAAAGUGCCUUGAGAAUUCCUGUCUUGAUAAUCCUGAAGUUAUAUGUUGAUAUAUUUAUGGGAUACUGCCUUGUGUCCUUCGUAUUGCUGUCAUGGGAUCGUUAUAUGAAGGUUUAUGGUUCUGUUUAUUAUAUUGGUCAUGUGAUUUAUUUGGGCUGGCCUUUGGUUGGUCCAAUUAUCAAACUUUUCAUUCCUAAGGCAAAAGUAGAAGAAAAAGCUAAGUCUCAGUAGUCAAUUAUUCGAAAACAGAGAGAUGCCAUUUUGCAUAUACAAUUUUUAGAAGUUUGAAGAAAGUGUUCCACCUGUUGAGCGCUUAACCUCAUCUUUGUUCUAUAUCAGGUAUUUUUGCACAGGAUUUAUCACAUCAGUUUUGUAUUUCUUUUAUUUAACUAAUGGUUUUUCAUUUACUUAAAACCAUAAUGAAUUUGUUUUUCUGUGAUAUACAUGUUAAGGUGCAAAAUUUUCUUAUUGCUGAAAAUUUAUGGCAUCCAAUUUCAAUUUAUGAAAAUUUAAAAUUUAAAUUAUUUGAGACUUUCUGUAACUGAAUGUUAAGUCAAUCUUUACUGAAAUGCAUCUGAGAAAAUUUGGUGUGAUUAAAGUUUGUAUACAAGUUGUAUUCAAAAAACUGAGUUGAAAUUGUCAAAGAUAUUUUUCAGUGACUUGGAUUAUGAAUUUUUAUAAAUAAGUAUAGCAUAAUUUUGUAUGUUUUGUGAUGCUUGAAUGUUAUAUUAAGCAAUGUAGAAAGACCUUUUUAAAAUACAAUAUUGUCUAAAGUUUUAUAAUUUUUUCUGAAGCUGAUUACUAUAAAAUUCUGUAUUAUUGCAUUAUGUUACAAGUUUCUUCAGAUUUAAUAUUUUUGGUGUAUUUGGUUUUGGUGUUCAUUUCUAGAUUUUUAAAAUUAUGAUGAUGAUUUAAAAAGGAACUACAUCUGUAUACAAAACAACACAUAACUUAUUCAUAGUUUUUUUUAUAAACUUAAUUAUAAUAACUUGUAACACAUUUUUACAUAGGGUAUAUCUCAGAAGAGGUAUUUGACAUAAAACUUGUAUUUAAAAAUUAUUGCAAAUAUCAAUGGAAUACCGAUAAUUUUAUAUGCUAUUAUCAUUUUCCUAAAAUUUAGUAGAAUUUUCAGUUUUUACGAGAUACUUAUUAUCUGGAAAAGUGAUCUGAAGCAUGACAUUCAAAAAUUGGUAUUGGAAAUUUUAAAUUGCUGCGCAUUUGUGUCUUGAAGUAUAGCUUUAGCAUAGUAUCAUAAAACUCUAACAUCUUCUAAAGAUCUAGAAUGAACACUUCUUGAUCUGUUAUUGUUCUGUGGUGGGAUAUUUUUAGCAAAUUCUUUUCCCUUUUAUUUGGUAUCUGUGAUUCAUGUUAAUUGUUCAUUUUGGCUGUUACUUUAAUGAGAAAAAUUAUAUGCAUUAUAAUAAUAAAUGCAAUAUUUCUCAUUAAAGUAACAGUAAAAUUACAUGCAUUAUAAUAAUGCAUGCAGUAUUUCUCUUUAAAGUGACAGCAAGGUUUUGCUCAAUAAGAGUUCAGUAUUGUGCAAUUUACAUUUCACAUAUGUAAUAGGUAUAAAUUAACUCUCAAAAUCAUAAUGCACAAAAUUUAAUUCCAGUAUUCAUUUCAUUACAAGUGCUGUAAUGUAAUUAAUAACUUAUAUUAAUAUAUUAUAUAAACUCAUAGCUAUAGAUUUAAUACAUCGAACAGAUAUUUAUUCUUGUUAUAUAAUUUAUAUUUAUACAUGUUUUUGUUACAGAAGAUUUUAAAUUUUGUUGCUGAAAAUAAUUUAUGUGAUGUUUAUGAAUUGCAUAUACUAUGUAAUAAUACAAAGUGUUUUCAAUAGUUUGAUUAAUAUAUUUUGUUCUUGCUUGUUAUAUAGCUUUUUAUUGUGCACCUUGAUCUCAUAAUAUGUAUUAAUUUCUGCAUGAAUACCUUUCUACCUUCUUUGCAUGCGUAAUUGAAAUUCUUUCUCUAAAAAUCAAUGAUAUUAAGAAUCCUAAAAAUAUGAAAUAAAUUCCGUUUUUAUUAAGUUAUUACAUUUGAGAAAAAUCUAGAUAACAUAGCACUUUUUUGUGGUUUGUUAUAUUUGCAAUUCCAGGGAACAAAUAUAGCAGAAUAUUAAUUAUUUAAAGAGUGUUUAUGAGUCAAGCUCCUUUUCAAAGUUAUUUUAUUUGUUUAUAUUAAAUCUUCUUCUGUGAGCAUUUUCAUAAGAUCUUUUUAUAGAAUAUUAAAAUGAAUCUAUCUUGUACUAAAGUUAUGAAAAAAAAAUUGUUAAAUCUUAAGAACUUCUGGCAUAUUAAAGAUCUGCUUUUGAUUGUUACAUUCCAAGAUGCAAUGUAAAAUUUUGUGAAGACGUAUAAGGUUGUAUUUUAGCAGUCAAAUGACAUUUUUGGAUUUGGGGUUAUGUGUGUUUGCUUUUUAUUGCUUAAAUUCAUGUUUAUUCUUUGAUGCAUAUUUAAUGAAAUACAGCCAUAAAUAGGAGGAAAGCACCUUUUUUAAUAUUAAAGUUGAAAAAAUUUUCGAUAAUGACAAUCAGUGUUCUUUUAAAGAGACAACAAUUUCAUUAAGCUAUACUUUCAGGCUUAAAAUAGCUAUUGUAAAUCAAAUGUUUUUUUCAGAAGUUAAAAAGAUCUGUUGUAGUAAUUUAGACAAAAUUUCAUAAAUUCAAACAAUGGUAUAAAAUUCAGUAUUGACUACAAACAGAAUUUGAAGUUAUUUCUGUAAUUAAUAAUUCGUUUUAUAGCCAGUCUGUGCACUGAUCACAUAACUACUGUAAAAAUGUACUUCCAUUUUGUCUUAAAAUGUUGAAAUUAAAAGGGCUCAUACUGCAGUUACAAGAAGGUGUAGAAAAUACAAAAUCGUUUUGCAGACAACAGUUCAAAAUCUUAUCACAUAGAAUAGUAAACUAUUAUCAAAAUAUUUUCAUGAUUUACAAUACAAUAUGCUUCUUACUGUAUAAUUCAGGAAUACAAUCCAGAUUUAGUAUGUAUGUAUAAUUCUUCUGUCAUAUCAUCAUUGGUGAUAAACCAUUACUUUUAAGAUAGUACUUUGAUGAUUCUCAUAAAAUUAAAUUUCUUGUCUUUCAUCAGAAAUUAAGCACUUAUUGAAGAAUUAAAGUGGAAAUAUACUGCAGCCUUACUCUCUUUACUUAAUUUCUUAGUACAAAUUCAACAUAUAUCAGUAUUCACUGGAAAUUUUUUUUAGGCUGUCCUUUUUUUUUUCUUUCAAAAAUACUAUUUACAUAUAAUUUUCAGUUUUUUAAAAUCAUCAUAGCAAUUGUAUCAGAAUACAUCAACCUUGUCACACAAAGAUAAGUUUAAAUUUCUUGAUUGAAGGUGUUGAAACUUCGCAGUAUUAUGCAGAUGACUUUGUGAUUGCAUACUAGACUUAAUAAUAAUAAUAUCAAGAUUCUAUAUGUUUUCUAGAUUUGAUAAAUUUCAAUUUUUAUAUUUCUACUUGUAUGAUUUCAGAAUGAAUCUGAUUAUUUGCUAAUUCUUGUGCUAAAACAUUUCAUGUUUCUUAUUGAUGAAACUGGCUAUUAGAAAUAAUUUUGUGGAGAAUUAUGUCUAUUAAAUGUAAUCUAGUUACAGUACUGUUCUUGAAAGAGUAUAUGCAAAAGUUCUUAAAAAUAAAAAAGAUGAGUUUCUGUAUAUAUUUUUUUAGGAUAACAUCUUAUUCCUUUGUACUUUUCAUAAAAAAAAAAAAAAAAAAAAAAAGUACCCUUGAUGUUGAAAAUUGUUUAGUAAUUUUCUGUGUUUCAACAGUACUUAAAUUAUUAUUCAUUGCAUAAUGUCCUUUGAGCUCAACAUUCAUCCUUCUAACAUUCCUUGUCUUUAUCACAUCAUUUUUCAGAAUAAUGCAUUCAUGCAUACACAUAUAUAUAUAUAGUGUCACAGAGUCUAAAAUGUUUUACUAAUGUUCUGAUAUUGGCAAAGAAAAGUAUUGAUUUCUCUCUGGAGUUUACUCUUAGUUAUUUUGCAUUUAAGAAAGAACUUAAUAUUUUGAUUCUGUUUGAUUAGUAAAUUACUUGUGUGUAAAUAUUAGCUUGUUUUAUCUAUGCGAUGUAUAAUGAUACUUAAUAAUAAAUGUAAGAGAAAAUACUAAUUAGAAUUUUAAAAUCUAUCGAAGCACUCAAUAUUUUAUUGGAAUUAAUUUUAGAGAAAUGUUGUGUACAUUUAAAAUGAGUUUAUUACCUGCAGCAGAAUAAUUUUGGUCUUUGAACGAGAUCCAUCUGUUCAGAUUCAUUGAGGUUGUCUAAAAUUAAUAUUACUUCGAGGACAGUUUUUAUUCAUUAUUGAAUACAUAUGGAAACAGCCAUUUAUUAGUGUAAUAAUUUAUUUAUUUAUUUUUAUUAUUAUGCCUUCUCUAGAUUAUGCAUAUGGAAUUUCCAUUAAUUUUCUGAAAUUUAUUACAUUAGCAAACUAUGAUAUUUUUUUAAUGUUAUGUAGCUGAUUUUUUAAAAAAAAUUAAUAGCUUUUAUAGUUAUUGCAUAUCUGAAGUCUGAAAUUAUUGGAUGCUUAUUGGUGCUAUAGUAGAGUAGUAAUUAAAGUAAAAUGUUUAUAAUGAAGCCUUGAAUUAUGUUCAAUAAUUAUGUUGUUUAAUGUAAUUAUUUAAAAAGUAUAAUAUAAAAAACAUGUAAAUAAGUUUUGAGUUUAAUUUUUUUUUUGAGAUUUGCACCUGAUAUGGGGCAUGUAAUAUAUGAUUUAUUUUUUGAAAUUUUUUUUGUGUUUAAGAAAAUUUUGUAUGGGAGCUCUUUUUUAGUAUUUGAAUGUAUUCAACACAUGGUGAAGCAUCUAGAACACUGGAUUAUUUUUCAGUAUAUUUAAUUGUUGCUCCUUAAGAUAAUUCCUUAUUAUUUUGUAUGAUGAAGGUCAUAUGUUUUUAAAUUCAAAAGCUUCACUUGAUCAUAACGGUUUUUGCAAUUUUUCUGAGUUUGGUAACUUUUGAGUCCUUUAUGGUGUAAAGUAUAAAUUGAUGACUAUAUAUUAACUUCAGUAUGGGUACAAAAACAAAUUCCAUAUCCCAUAUUCCUAUUUUUAGAAAUUUUGUUGUUGAAUGUAGGGCCAAUAAGCAGACAUUUAUAAUGCAGUCCAUUUUAUUUAGAAUAUUUUGUGAAACCUGUCCAUAACACUUUGUAUGAUAAAAUUUCUAGUCUGUUAAAUAAUAUUUAUCUUUUUUAAUUAUCUAUAGAAUAGGUAUUAGUACUAUUUAUAGAAUAUUCCAUUGUGUAGGUUUAUAGUAUUGUUGAUAAAACAAUAUUGCAAUAAGGCUGCUUUAAUUCAUACAAAAAAAAAAAAAAAAAAAAAAAAAAAAACAUAUUCAAUGCAAGUAAUGCAUUUCUCUCUCUCUCUCUCUCUCUCUUUUUUUUUUUUUUUUUUCUUCUCCUUCCUACCUAAGUUUUAAGUGAAUAAAAAUUAAAAUGUUUACUACCUGUAUUAUGAAGUUCAUAGCUGCAGCUUUUCUUGAUCUGCAUUAGCCAUUAUUUAAAAAUAUCUAGCAAAGUAAUUCUUGUUUUAAAGAAUUCGCUUCUAAAGUAAAUUUAUGCAACUAGUAUUAUUUGUCACAAUUCACCUGAAGGUCAUUACUUUGAUUUGCUGGUAACAGAUUUUGUUUACAAAUGCUGCAGUGGAGAAAUACUUGAUAAUCAUGGUGCCAAAGGUUUGGUGAGCUUUGCCAUAUGCCUUUUUUGAGGUUUGAAUGUAUAGUAGUUUUUCACAGAUUUGUCUUAUAAUUGGUGUUUGUUGAAAGUUUGUCAUCAGAAUGCAAGUAAAUUUUCAAUUUUUAAUAGGUAUUGCACUUGGAUAAAUAUUUUAUGGAAUGAGAAAGUUUACUGCAUUACAGCAUUUGAAAUAUUUUGUAUAUAAUUUGUAAUAAAAUAUGUAAUGUCCCAUCCAAAUAGAAUUUACAAUCAGUGUGUGUAUGUAUACACUUCAGGUACAAUAAAAUAUAUAUUACAACUGAAA